UACGUAGGAGGCGGAGCGUUGUCCGGAGUUACUGGGCGUAAAGGGUGCGCAGGCGGUGGCCCGCGUGGGCGGUGAAAGCUCCUGGCUCAACUGGGAGAGGGCCGUCCAGACGGGGUCACUUGAGGGGCGGAGAGGAGAGUGGAAUUCCUGGUGGAGCGGUGAAAUGCGCAGAUAUCAGGAGGAACACCCGUAGCGAAGGCGGCACUCUGGGCCGAUACUGACACUGAGGAGCGAAAGCGUGGGGGAGCAAACAGG
rnacentral:rRNA from 1 species